rnacentral:rRNA from 1 species
GACGAACGCUGGCGGCGUGCUUAACACAUGCAAGUCGAACGGAAAGUCCUGCUUUCCCUUGUGAAUUGCGGGUACUCGAGGGGCGAACGGGUGAGGAACACGUGAGUGAUCUGCCCCCAACUUGUGUAUAAGCCUGGGAAACUGGGUCUAAUUCCCGAUAGGACUUCAGGGUGGUGCCUGUGGUGGAAAACGUUUUUCUGGUGGAUGGGGAUGAGCUCGCGGCCUAUCAGCUUGUUGGUGGGGUAAUGGCCUACCAAGGCGGCUACGGGCAGCCGGCCUGAGGAGGCGGACCGCGUCAGUGGGACUGAGCAGCCGCACAGACACUUACGGACGGCAGAAGCGCGGACGGGUGGCAGAUGUGGGGAAGCCUGAACCAGCGACGAAGCGCGGAGGCUGACGGCCUUCGUGUGUUAAACUCCCUUCGGCGGCGUAGAACCCUCUUGGCUGGGAGGGUGGUGACGGUAGUGGCAGAAGAAGCACCGGCUAACUCCGUG